rnacentral:rRNA from 1 species
GUGCCAGCAGCCGCGGUAAGACAGAGGUGCCGAGCGUUAGGCGGAAUCACUGGGCUUAAAGCGUGUGUAGGCGGAUGCCUAAGUGUCUUGUGAAAUCCCACGGCUUAACCGUGGAACUGCUUGACAUACUGGGUGUCUUGAGCCAACUAGGGGCGACCGGAACAAACGGUGGAGCGGUGAAAUGCGUAGAUAUCGUUUGGAACGCCAAUGGUGAAAACAGGUCGCUGGGGUUGUGCUGACGCUGAGACACGAAAGCCAGGGGAGCGAACGGGAUUAGAAACCCGGGUAGUCC